rnacentral:rRNA from 1 species
AUGGAGAAACGGAGAAGAAGCGUGUGCGCCGUGGCGGCGGCGGCCCUGGUGGCGGCAAUGCUGUCCUCACUGACCGGGGCGGCGUACGGCGGCGGCAUGUCGCCGGGCUACUACAAGACGACGUGCCCGCAGCUGGAGGACAUCGUGCUGAAGGAGGUGACCAGGAAGAAGAACGAGACGAUCGUCACCAUCCCGGCGGUGCUCCGGCUCUUCUUCCACGACUGCCUCGUCAAUGGCUGUGACGCUUCAGUCCUGAUAGCCUCUCGCAACCAAGACGCCGAGAAGAACUCCCCCGACGACGACUCCCUCGCCGGCGACGGCUACGACACCGUCAACCGCGUCAAAGCGGCCGUCGAGCAGAAGUGCCCCGGCGUGGUCUCCUGCGCCGACAUCCUCGCCCUCGCCGCCAGAGACGUCGUCCACCUGGCGUCCGGCCCCUACUGGAGCGUGGAGCUCGGCCGGCUCGACGGCCUCGUCUCCAAGGCCAGCGACGUCGAGGACAAGCUGCCCGGCCCGGACAUGCACGUCAAGGAGCUCACCGACAUCUUCUACCGGAGCGGGCUGUCCCAGCGCGACAUGGUGGCGCUCUCCGGCGCCCACACCGUGGGGUUCGCGCACUGCAGCCGCUUCACCAAGCGGCUGUACAACUACAGCAGCACCGUGAAGCUCGACCCGUCCUUCAACCCGGAGUACGCGAAGCGGCUCAUGGAGGCGUGCCCGCCCGACGUCGGCCCGACCAUCGCCGUCAACAUGGACCCCUUCACCCCCGUCGUCUUCGACAACAUCUACUACCAAAACCUCAGGAACGGCAUCGGCCUCUUCACCUCCGACCAGGCGCUCUUCACCGACGGGGGGUCAAGGAAGACGGUGGAGGAGUUCGCCGACAGCGAGCCGAGGUUCUUCCAGGCCUUCGUGGAGUCGAUGAUGAAGGUGGGGAGACUAGGGGUGAAGACCGGCGGCGGCGGAGAGAUCAGAAGAGACUGCACUGCCUUCAACCACUAA